rnacentral:lncRNA from 1 species
GAGGUCCAGCUGGGCAUGGCCCCGGGCGUGGGUGGGGAGACGAGAGAAAGGAGCGUGGGACGGAAAAGGCGAACCCGGCGAGGCCCCCAAGUCCACCGCGAAGGGGUCUGGGAGGAGCCGAGGGUCGACCAGAUGUGAAGAUGGGUCACCUUGCGAAAACCCACGCUUUUCCGCCCGUCUUGCCUGGUAAAAAGUGUGAAGUUUCUCGGGCGACCCAGUCCGGUGGUGUUCACGUUACUUGGGCUGUAUUCGUGGAACACCAGGCUGGCGUGGCACCAGAAACCUCAGUGAGGUGGUAAAAGGUCGGGCUCGAGGAGUUGUGGGUUCGCUGUUGGGUACGGAAAGCUUCGAGAUUGCAAGUUUGCGCCGCCGAGUGUCUUCUAAAAGCGUUCAGCCUCCCUUACAAGAACUUGUUCAGAUGGAGAAAAGAACAGAAAUGGAGGCCUGUAGACAGAGCUCACUGGGGAGGGAAGGGGUGUUCAAAUGGUCGGUAUCACCGCCAUCCCCUGCCCCUCCGCUGUUGAGAAACUUAGCUUUGGAAAAGCAGCCCAACUCACUGCCGCCUAUCUUAACUGUAUUUCUCUCGGUACGUUUCAACUCUCGGAAAGACACACUGACACACUGGCUGUCUUUUAAAACUGUUCAGUGUGCAGGAUGAAGAAAAAAUGGACACUAAGUAUUAUAUUUCCCCACGGGAGAGAAUCUGUCCUAAGUAAGUAAAACAGGGCAAAUCAUUUCAUUUUCUUGUUUGCUUUGAAGGAGCUAAACUUUCAUCCUUAAGAUUAAAUUAUCCAUUUCUGCCAUUUUAUGUAUUACCUGAAGCCAUAAUUUUCUAUUUGACAUCUCUUAAUUGAUUUUGGAAAUAAUUAUGUCACAGAUGGAGACAUUUAUGACUUCAGCUCUGAAGCAAAGAGCAGGACAAAUGGAAUUCUGAGUCACAUAGACUAGCAACUCAUGUAGAUGGCCUCUGAGUUCCAGUGUUUUUCUAAAACACAAACUACCGCUUUUGAUACUGAUGAAAGUUGGCAGAGUGUUUGACCUCGAAUUUAUACUCCCCAGUAGCAUAUGGUCAUUUGUAAAUGUUAAAUUGGCCUUGUUUUUUAAAGCAUUGCAUCUGUUGUGAAACAACAAUACUGUAAAAUAAAGCCAGGAACUGAAGAGGCUUGUUGAUAUAAUCAAAGAAGUUUUAGAAUAUGGACAUCAAAAAUAAACCUGACAACAGAUUUUAAGACCUAAUUUUAUAAACUUAGAACGUCUCUGUUUUUAAGUAUAGUACCUGCAAGACAUAUUAACAGUGAUUAACAGGUCUAAUUUUAGUCAGCAGGUUUUGUUCCAAUUUGUACAGUCAUUUAUAUCCAUUUAGACUAAAAAGUGAAUUAAAAUAGAACUGUAUACCCAUUCUUAAUACAUUAUAAAUUAAUACUAAAUGUCAUAAAUUCAGUUGUUUAGAGACUUGUAACCCAAGAUUUUGUAUUACUAUUAGGAUAAAUGUGUAUCUUUCAUUAGACUUUAAUUAAUGGUCUAUGUGUGUUCUCUAGCCACAUAGUCUAGAAAAGUCGUCUCUAGCUUCUUUUUAUUGUACACCCUGUCCAAAAAAAAUGUGCAUACUCCCAAUAUCUGGAUAUUUAUGUAUGAAUAGUAAGUGUGCUUAAUAUAUUACACAUUAUAAAACAAAAUUCUUUAUUAACAAUUAAUACUUUACACUGUUUCAAUUUGUCUUCCCAAUUUCUUAGGGUGGAACCACCCUUCAAGCUCUAACACAACUGAAAUAGGGUUUAUACGUCUGUGACCAGGAGAAAAAGAGAAAGCUUGGUCUUGCUGUACAUAAAUUUUCUCUUCAAGGAGAAGUACAUAUUUCAUGAGAAUAAAUAGUUUCAGAAUGAUGCUACA